ACUCAAAUUUACAUUCAUUUGAGAAAGAUAAAUCAUUAUUCUUUAAUGGCUUCUUCUAAUAAUGCCAUCUUCUUCAAAUUGGCUCUUGUGCUCACUCUUGCUCUCAUGAUUUCUAUGGCUGAGAGUGUUAAUCGUGGCUCAGUUGGAUUUGGAAAGCAAGACGCAGAUGAUGUAAGUUGCAGCAUAAUUCAUGGAACAGAGAGUGAUGAAACGUGUUCAAGUGUGGCGCAAGAAUUUAAUCUCUCUUUGGAUGAUUUUCUGGCCAUUAAUCCCAAUAUUAAUUGCGACUCAAUCUUUGUUGGCCAAUGGCUCUGCGUCGAUGGCUCUGCUUAAACUAGUUUCCAGAAACUUAUUAUAAGCUGCCUUAUCAUCUUCUACUGCUAUAUUAAUAAUUGUGACAUAUAUGUCUUCCGUCACAAUCUUAAAUAAAUUAUAAGGCAAGAGCUCUACUUAAAGCAGCCUAAGACCUAAGUUUAUAGCUUAUUUGCAUUCGUGUUGUUAUGUGGUUCUAAUUUAUAAUACAAGUUGCUUGUUAUGGAGUUUCAUUUAA